AUUGAACGCUGGAGGCAGGCCUAACUCAUGCAAGUCGAACGAGUGGCGGACGGGUGAGUAAUGUCUGGGAAACUGCCCGAUGGAGGGGGAUAACUACUGGAAACGGUAGCUAAUACAGCAUAUCAUCGGAACAGACCAGAUGGGAUUAGCUAGUAGGUGGGGGAACGGCUAACCUAGGCGACGCUCCCUAGCUGGUCUGAGAGGAUGACCAGCCACACUGGAACUGAGACACGGUCCAGACUCCUACGGGAGGCAGCAGUGGGGAAUAUUGCACAAUGGGCGCAAGCCUGAUGCAGCCAUGCCGCGUGUAUGAAGAAGGCCUUCGGGUUGUAAAGUACUUUCAGCGAGGAGGCGUUACUCGCAGAAGAAGCACCGGCUAACUCCGUGCCAGCAGCCGCGGUAAUUC
rnacentral:rRNA from 1 species